CAGGCUUAAGCCUGGAAAAUAAGAGAACAAUCUGAAAUGUUAAACUCUUGUGAUAUAAAACCAUAAUGCUGCACGACCAGUUUAGAGGAUUUAUGACUGAAAAACAAACUCAUCUACAGCUACAGUGUUCUGCAUCAGCAGUAAGUAUCUUUUAAUUGUACACGACCAGAGGAGGUUUUGUUUGAAGGCUGUUUUUAUUUAGGAUUCUCUGGUAAAUUAUAUUUUGACUUUACAAUAGAAUCCUAAAUAAAAA